GCCAGACUCCUACGGGAGGCAGCAGUGGGGAAUAUUGGGCAAUGGGCGCAAGCCUGACCCAGCGACGCCGCGUGAGGGAAGACGGUCUUCGGAUUGUAAACCUCUUUCAGCAGGGAAGACAAAAGGACGGUACCUGCAGAAGAAGCCACGGCUAACUACGUGCCAGCAGCCGCGGUAAUACGUAGGUGGCAAGCGUUAUCCGGAAUUACUGGGUGUAAAGGGUGUGUAGGCGGGGCUGCAAGUCAGAUGUGAAAAUUAUGGGCUCAACCCAUAACCUGCGUCUGAAACUGUAGCUCUUGAGAGUGGGAGAGGUAAACGGAAUUCCCGGUGUAGCGGUGAAAUGCGUAGAUAUCAGGAGGAACACCGGUGACGAAGGCGGCCUGCUGGACUGCGACUGACGUUGAGGCCCGAAAGCGUGGGGAGCAAACAGGAUUAGAUACCCCUGUA
rnacentral:rRNA from 1 species